UGCCUCUUUUCAGGUUGCUGAAUCGGCUCUGCAGCUGUGUCAGGCCUCGGCAGAGAUUGUUGAACUCGUUAAGCGUCGUCAUUCAGUAGAGGACCACAGUGAAGUUUUACUAAACGACUCAUUAGUUCUGCUGUCUGUGUGACUUUGGUUGAAACGCGCUACCUGUUAGCUAAAGAGUAAAAGUUAGCAUCGUCCUGACGGGCCUCAAGCAGCCACGUGGGACACUUAAAAAUGGCCAAGAUGAGGAAAAUGGUCGACAUGUGUCUGCCAGGUCUUUGCAUGUUGGAUCAAUGGAGUCCCAUGUCUGUGAAAGAUGGGUCAGAACGGGACAGUUCCAGAUGAUGAAGCUGAGACUCAGGCUGGAAGACACCAGCUGUCAUAAGAGAUGCUGAGGACAGGAAAGUACACCUGGCGAUCAAAUCACAGCUCUGCAUGUGCUCCAACAAAACCAUCUGGCAGAGGAUGAAUCCUCUCCUGCAGGUCGAGCCAGUAACUGAAGAACUCAAUGCUCACAACCAAACGAGAUAACAGAAGAGGAAUAACUUCUUGCAGGUCGAGCUGUAACUGAAGAACAGUUGUCUCAAAGUGAAUCAUCUUACCAGACGGAGCUGAAGCUGCAACUUCUAAAAUGUCGUCCUGCCAGUCCGCCCCUGAAGUCUGCUGUCGAAUGAAUCCUACAGUUCUGGAUCAAGUGAUUGCAGUGAUUCUGCCUCAGUAUUCCUGCAAAGCUACACGAUGGUACUGGGGACUUGUGGACACUUGGACUGAAGAUGGAUGUCAACAUGUCAUUUGAAAAUGUGUUUAUUGUAAAAAUGAGUGUUUUGUAAUAAAAUGUCCAAACAACCUAAAA